AGAAUUUCAAUCGAGAAUCGUAAUUUCGCUUCCAAUGCCUUAGUGACUCCCCAAGAAGCCUUCGAAAAAACAGCAAUAAUCUCAUGAUCAUUCCUUUUAAUAAACAUUAGACCUUAAACUCACAAGCUCCAAACAAGCUUUCAAAUGAAACCCAGAAGCUUUAUCCCAGACUUUUUCUCCUUUAUAACAUACAAGCAUGGUGUAGAGUGGGUGAAGGCCAUGAGAUUGAGGAAGGGGUUUGGAAUGGAUAUCGAUUGGCAGGUUUUUAGCUCUUUUCCCUGAGUCUCUUACUUCAUUGCUUUCAAGUGGUUUCCAAAGAAGGUUAAUUCAUCUUUUUAUGCUUUUAUAUAUCUUCCCUCUUCUUUUUUUCCCUUGCCAUGAUGUUUCUUAUGUGAGAACUUUGUUCCCAUCCUUGGAUUUCUCUAAAAGAGAAGGGCUAAAGAGGCAUUGUCCUCCACUUGAGAAGCGUUUAUUUUUCUUGGUGCUACCUCUAGAGGAUUAUAGAUUGCUCGUAAAUGGCCAACUAGCAGGGAUUGUGUAUGGAGAAGCAAUGUGAAUCAUACACGUCUUAUUGAAGUCAAAGGAGGACAAAUUGGGUGCAUGAGAAAGAUUAGCUAUAAUGGUUCCCUGGUGGUGGCACUCAUUUCAAGCAUGGAGCAGCUGAUGAACUUAAGUUUCUUAUAUCACUUAUUCACUUUUGAACUGGUUAAUUUAUCAUUUAAUACAGUGGCAAUGAUACCAGUAAUUGAUGAUAUUUCCAAAACUCAAGCACUAUAAUGUUUCAUCUCUAAUGAUACAGGUUAGGAAAUAUGGUAACUAAUGAUACAUGUGAUCCAUGUUCAGCUGGGGUUGUUCAAGUUCUGGAUGUUAGCUAUGGUUUUGCUAGCUUCUCAUCUUAUCUUUUUCCUUUGGAUAUACAAACAAUGUUUUUUGGUCCCAAAGAUGGCCAUAAAAAUUAGAUUCAAUUUGCUUUAUAACGAGGAAUCAGUGCCAUGACUUCUGUCAUUGCCACAAAACAACUAUCAUACCCUUCUGGCUCUUUUGAGAAUGUUCAUUGUUCGAGGUGUGUUUGCUUGGGUGUUCUAUUCUGGAUUUGGAGCAAUUUAUAGGUGUUAACCUAGCUUUCCAUUCCUUACUUCUUUCAUAUGAUUUCUUUGAGGUUGCAUUUUUUUUCAGCACCGAGCUUCAAACCAUGUUCAUCUCUAAUUACUUUAGGAGUCAACCCAAUAUACUCCAGUUCAGGUCAAGUAGCUCCAAGGUAAAUUUCUAGAGGUUUUUUUAUUAAAAAAAUCGUUUUUUUAGGUUUUUAGCCUUUUUAACUUCAUUGAUUGUUGGUUGACAUGGCUUAUGUGUUUUUUAAUGGUUAUUUGGGUUUAAUUGGUUCCUUUACUUUCUUGAACUGUAUUUGACAAGGGGAUUGUUGCUUUGUUUACAAGAAGACAUUAUUAGAUCUUUUUUGGGCUACAAGGAGAGACCAAAUUAUGGUAAAUUUACAAGACUACAAGGAGAAACUAGAUUGUGAUCGCUAUGUUGCUGUCAUCACAUAUGUAUCUUUGAGGGAGAUGAUAAAACCUGGUGCCUUCACUAUUAUAUCUCCUAUGAUUAUUAGAUGGUUAAUUGCUUGCCAUUUGAAUUUACUUCUUUUGCUUAUAUCUUUAAGGGUUAAAUGAAGUUUCCUUGACAUUUUUAUUAUUUGAAGGCCUUCUGUUUUGGAUUUUGGGGUAAUAUACAAGACAUUAUGUACUAGGGGCUAAAGUUGUGGCUUCCAUACUAAUGUUUGUGAUAGUUUCAGGUAUUCUCAUGGUUCUUUUCCUGAACAUAUCAGUUAGAUUUUGUGAAACUAUUUAGAUGUUUGGUAAAUGUUGUUGUAGUUGUGUUGUGUUUUUUACACAAAUGGUUGGUAUCCAUACCAAAUUUGCUGGAGAUAAGGAGAUUCUAGAAAAGCUAUAGAAAGAGUUUGAUGUCUAAACCAAAUAUUUCUCUCAUGUAUUGACCAUGCUUUAUUCCUUAGCAAUAUCAUUGUCAACAUCGACAACCUCCACCAUUGCUAAAUCUCUGACUCUUUCUUAUUUGUUUUUAGAAAAAAGAAAGAGAAUAUUCUCUCUAACUAUCAAAGCUUGUUGAAUGAAAGCAAAGUCUCAAUCUUUCUCAGGCACAAAGGUAGAGAGAGACGAAGUGUGAAUUGGAAGACAAAAAUAACAGCAACCCACAUAAGGGGUUUCUUGAAAACCUAGCAAAAUUCAUGUUUUCUCUAGGUCCUCAACAGAAACUAUUGUUUUAUGCAAACAUUUAUUUUGGUUUCUUGAGCUUAUUUGAGGAAUGUUUUUUUCUUAGUAAUAAGGGUUCAAUUAUGUAGGUGAUUGAUUCUGUUAGAACUUUAGAGGGAAAAGAAUUAAAAAAAAAUGGCUUUGUUUAGAAAGUUUUUCUAUAGAAAACCACCUGAUGGGCUUUUAGAGAUCUCUAAAAGGGUUUAUGGUAUGCUUUAAAUUUUGAUUAAUUUACAAACUUUAUGGUUAAAAUUUGAUGGGUUUUGGUUCAUUUGUGAUUUGAAUUUCUUGCAUUGAUAUUGGUAGGUAAUUGAUCCUGAAAGUCUCUUUCUUUUAUGAUGAUAUCAUGAGGACUUGGUUUUGCCAUUUGGUAAACCAGAAGGAAAAAUGCAGAACACAGAUAAGAGCUUUGAUGUCUAAACCAAAAAUUGCUCUCAUGUCAUGACCAUGUUAGUUUUUUACCUUUUCUUUAUGUACUUUGCAACAAGCCCUCCAUGCUAACUUUCAUAAAAAAAAAAAUUCAUUCUUAUUUAGUAAGGUCAACGCCAACCAUCUAAUAAUUUGCUUAUAUUUUGGCUAACAAUGUGCCAUGUUGUUAGACAAAAAAUUCAGAUUUUAUGCUCUAGUGCUAUACUAGGAUUGAAGCUUUAUGGCUUUGGAGUUGACCACGAUUUCUUCUAUGAUUUAAUAAUUUGAAACAACUCCAACGGAUGAUGUCUUAUGUAUAUAUGUAUGUAUAUCUGUACAUUUUCCUUUCUGUUUGUAUACAAUAUGCUUAUUUCAUCUUUAUUAUCUCUGCAACCAAAAAUGUAGGAUUCAACCUUUGUUGCACACACGUGGUUGCUUUAUGUUUUGGGGGAAGAGAGAAAAAAUGGUUGUUGACUCUCUUCACUGAGGAUAAAUUACAGGAAAAAAAAAAAGGAAUUAGAAUGGGUGAGAGAUUGGGUCUGUUGAUUAAGCAUUUUCACCAUUUCGCAUUGACCCUUAGAUUUCUCAUGUGUCUAUAGAUUUGACAUGGAUUCAACAUAAGAGGUGAGAAGGUUGACUGUUAUUUUAUGAUGAAUUAUCAUAAAACAUUAGAUAAUUUUAUAAGGAAUCAUUUUAAGUCUUUUGUGUUUGUGUUAAAAAAAAAAAAGAUGUUCCACUGACAAGCUUUCUCGCGAGCUCUUUUUUAUCGGCUCGAAAUCAAGCGAGCUCAAUGUUUCAUAUGCUAAUUGGAACCUUUUUUCUCUUAUUUUUAAACCAUUGCUUCUUGUUAUUGCUCUUACAUAAACAAUUGCUUAGCUGCAUAAUGUAAAACUCAUGUCACCAUCUUACUCCUCUACCCAGGAAUCAGCCUCCCAACUUCUUUUUAAAAAGAACACAUCAGCCAUGUUAUUCUUUAACAUUUUCUAUUUCCAUUCUUAAGUCAUAAGAUGUUGCCUAACUACAUUUUUUCUCCAUGUAGUAGCGCCAGGGAAGGCCAGGCGCUCCUCCCAUCCGAGGAGGAUCUAACAGAAGGGCAUAUUUCGCCAUCAAGACUAGAAGAGGAGACUAGAAGAGGCAACGCCUGCUGCAAAGUGCCAAUGGGCAUUCCCACCUUCCAGCACACAUGUUAUCAUGAUGUUGCUUGCUUUGUUUCCUCCAGUUAUUUUCUUUCCAAACCCUUAAUUUGGUAUUUGGUUAUAGGAACAGUCAACAAGCGGUCAUAGCUCUACAAAUCGAUACAUCUUCGUGGAGGUUUAUUAGCCCUUUCUUGCUCUUCUCCAAGAUCCUUUGCCAAGGCCUCUUCUGCAGAUUUAGAAGAAGGAUGUGCACAACGACAACUUCAUUGUCUGUUCCUUUUCUUCCUUUCACAAGCAAGACUUGCGAGGCACGCUAAGGAAAUGCUAUGUUGUUUAACAUCUACUACUGCUGCUUGUAGAACUGUGAUCUUCCUAUCACCAAUGUAUGUUCUAUGCAUUUACUGCUCGUUUCGGCCUUUUUCUUGCAAUGUUUGUCAUAUCAACGCAUUCUUAAUUGACUUCUUCUCUUUCGUUCCAAGCCAUUGUCGAUGAACUUUCUUUCA